UUUUUUUCCAGGAAAGAUGCAUGAACAAAAUAUUAGAGCAUAUGCAGUAUAAAUCAAACAGGUAGCUUUGUGGCAGAAUACAGAACAUAAAAUACUUUCCACUCGCAAAUGCCAUGCAUUUACAUACUGGCAAUUGCAAAAAACAAGCAGAAUAAUAAAAAAGAAUGCAAGGUAUGACAUUCACUGCACCUUUGCUGCCAUCCAUACAGCGCCCAACAAAAUCUCUAGGUUUCCCAUCAUCAUGGAAUGAAAAAGACUCGACAUUGUCAUGAUCAAGAGACCCAUCCUUCAUGUAGCGAUCCAUAUCAGCCUGCAAUUCAAGUUCUUCUUUAUCAUCCCACUACCAAAACGGAAUGCCAAGGAGCAAGUGGAAAAGGAAUUAUUAUAAUUCCUUUCAUACAAACAAUAAUUACCAAGCUCCACCUACCAGCUGAUUUGAGGGGGGACGUAAAAAUGCCAGUAUGUAAAUGCAUGGCCUAUUGUAAAGCUUAAAGUAACACAGGAAAUAUUUAUUUAUAUUUGAAGGUUCUAUAAUAGGCAACUGACACCAAACUAACCACAUGACCUAUUGUCAAAUUCACUAAAAAAGAAUUAACAAAAUUCCAAGCCUAAACAGCCUCCUCUUUACAACUCAGAAUGUACAUCAGUUUUUCAGUGGAAAAGUUAGAUGGAUAAAUAAGCAUGGCAGUGGAAGUAGAAUGGAGAACAAACACUCUAAUUUCAUUUAAUUUGAUUGAGAAAAAUGAAAAAAGGACGAAAACAAUUGAGAAUCAAGAGAGUCUGUUCUACUAUGACUUUAGAACAAGAUUAUGAGAUGAAUUGAUAAGCAAAUUUUGAUUUAUUUUUUUUAGAGAAAAAGAGAAUAUGAACACACUUCACAUUUCUUAUACAAUUUUCAAUGAACCUCCUCCGAUUGCUGAAUCAAUACUGAGCAAUAUAUAUUUAAAUCUUAUGCAAAUCCAAUUUGCAUUUGUAUGAUAUUUAAUUAGAGAGAAACAAGGUGGAGUUGGUAGUUCAAUUAGAUUACAUGCACGAAGCUGACUCACCUUUUCAUUUUGCAUGUUGAACUUUCAAACUAAAAUUUAAAUUCAAAUUGAUUUCAUUAAGUUCAAAUUAUUUGAUUUUUUUAAAAUUUAUAAUUAUUUUAUUAUUUUAUACUAAUUAAUCUAAUUAAUUAAUAAUAAUAAAAUAAUAGUAUUAUUGAUCCAAUUCAAAUAUCAUUUUUCGAUAUUUAUAUCUCCCACCAACUUCUCAAAAACCCAUUAACCAUAAAAUUAAUUCAAAUCAUUUUGAAUUGUGGAUAUUUAAAUCUUAUUUACAUCACUUGGUUCUAAUUUGGUCGACGCUCACUCAUUCGAACAGAAAUUCUCAGUUUCGGCAAAGACCGAGUCUAAUCAAGUAGGGUAAGAUAGGCAUCAAGGGAAUUAGAAGAAAAGACAGAUGCUAUUCCAGAUUGACCUACUACCAAUUGAGGUGUGAUAGUAAGCUUCAGACUUAGGUCCACGGAACUCAAGCCUCCCUCAACUUUGUCUUUAUAUAAUAUGUAUAAAAAAAAUCAAUUAAUGUUUAAUAUUGUAGGUAGUUUAAUGGUAAUUAUACUUGUCAACGCCCUUCCAGAGUUCUGGUCAUACUUGUGUAUUUUUUUUUUUUGCAGAGUUUAAGUUACAACUUGUCGAAAAAAUUUAUGAAUCCGCCAUGACUCCUUCGUGUAUACACUAUUUCCUGAAAGAAGAAUUGAACUAGAACUCUAACAUCUAACAUGUGGGAAAGGUGCUACUCUCCCUCCACUUGUUCUGUCUAGCUCUCCUCUUUCCGAAGCAAGGAGACUAGAAAGGUUAUGGGAAGGUAUGAUGAGAAGGAUCGAAAUAAGGCUAGGUUGCGGAACAAGACUCAAUAGAGAUCCGAAGGAGUUCCUGAAAGAGUAAGCAAGACAAAAUUCGGAGGCUGCUUUCACUCAUAGGGUCCAGGACCUCCAGGUAUCAAUCCCUAGGCCUUCUUCUUUCCGGGAGUCUUAAUCUUCUGAGGUCAAUGACGUCGAUAAAGAUCACUCAUCAGACUACUUAAGUAGGAGCCGCCUAUAUUGUGGUUUGAGCUUUGUGAUUGUUGAUUUGAAAGAGCAUGCUGCUGAAGUUGCUGGCUACUACUCUGAAGAAAAAUGGUCAAAAAAUUUUAUUAUUAUUGUUAUUCUAGUUUAAAGAAUAUAAUUUUGCAAAUAGGGAAAAGGGUCAAAUAACCUUGACCAUUUUGAAAACAUGUUGAUGUGUUUGGGUAAAUGCAACUAAAUAUUGCUAUGUAGAACAAAUCAAAAAUCAAAAGAACUACAAAUGAAAUGCAGAGAGGCAAAUGCCAAAAAGAGGUGAUGACCUCCCAAGUUUUUAAACAUGACAUCAAAUUUUGCACCACAUUAGCAUCCGCCUUAUCGACUCUAUCUCGUAAAAGUUGCAAAUCCUUCACCACUGCAACUUUCUUCUGGUUCUUAAUAACGGAAAGGACGAGAAAGAAAUUCAUCAAGGGAAUAUUUUUCCUAAAAGAAAAAAGUAAUUAUUAUGUAAGGUAAGUUACAUUCUAAUAUGACCUUUUCGUGAUCAUAAGAAUUCUCGGGAAUUCCAAUCAAAACUCAUAAGAAAUCCACCCAAAGAGGUUGUAAACAUUUUUUUUCCUCAAUCAAGCGUCCAGUGAACAUCAUGACUAUAUUUUAAGAGCUCAGGAAUACCAGGGAAAACAAGUCAGAAGAAGAAACGGAAAUUCCCACAGUUGAUAUUUUCCCAACCAUCAUAACCAAUACAACACAAAACCUAAGUACCUGACUCUGCUCGCCUCAGCCAUUCCACAGAACACUGAUGCAUAUGAUAAAAAACUGGAUGAAGCAAAAUAUAAAUUCUGCAGACAACACUGCAAUUGCACAAGAAUCACAGUGAUGUACAAGGCAACCUCAGAUCAAUCUGAAGCUUAUUCAAUUCUCUGAAAUGGAUACUAACAAGUAACUUAUAAUUCGAGAAAUUCCUCAAAAAAAAAAAGGAAUUCUCUGAUUAAUCGAAUUGAUAACGCACAACCUGUUACGGUUUGAUGCAGCAGGGGUGCCGGAACGCUACCCUACUAUAAUGAAAAAACCAUGGAUUCUCGAGCACCGGUGAAACCAAUCAAAUGGCAAAGAUCGACAUCGACUGGAAAUGGAACUCCGCUUGCUCCUUCUUCCAGGUAAUCUCCGUCGUGCGAUCAUCCGGACACGGUGGGGCGAAAAGAACUAUGGGUUGGAACACCAUCCCUUCGCGCUGGGCCGUGGCCCAUUUAAAAUUCCCAUAGUAGAGCGCCCUACGCAAUUUUGGGAUAAACGUAGGAAUAGCAAAAUUCGAGAUUCCCUUUGAAAAAAUGGUAAAAACCAACCACUUGAAGAAACUUACAAUAAUCAAAGGAAUUGAACCCACAAAUAGUUAAACUUAUACAAUAAUAUAAGUUCGAAAAUUCAAUUUUAUUUUUACCUAAUAUUAAUGUUACAUACUUUAUGAAGGUUUAAUUUUUAAGUUGCAAAUUUGUAUAAUUGCAAAAAUAUCAUCUGGUUACGAUUAUUGCAAAAAUAUCAUCUGGCCCCUACAUACAAUUGUUAUAAACAUCUCUUAUACAAUUGAAGUGGGUAUUUUUUUAGAAAGAUCAAACAUUAAAACAGCUGAAAAUAAAAAAUGGUGGUAUGGGCCAAUUAUUCAAUUAUUGGAAUUCCUUUACACUAAAUAGACUUUUUUUCCACAAAUCAUAGCACCACUUUUCUCAACAUCCAACUUUAUCAAACAAAUAAUAUGCUUUUCUUUUCUUUUCUUUUCUUUUUCUGGUAAACUUUAAGCCAUAUUUCUUCAUCUAUCAAGUACAUCGAUAAUGAAGCCAAAGGCAUUUCAGAGCUUUAUUUAUUUUGUAGCUUUUCCUUUUCUUUCUUUUCUUUUUUUUAAGGAUGAUUUGAAAAUGAAAGAAGCACAAAAAGCAUAAGCAGAAGACAGUGGAAGAGUAGUAGUAUACAUUCUAACAAGAUGGAGUUCAAUUACAAGAAGCAGUUUUGUCAGAAUUUUGGGUCAUAUCAUAUCCAGCUCAAGUUUCAUAUUCUAAAACCAAAAAAAGGGGAAGAAAAAAAACUAGAAGUCCUGAAGAAAAAAAGGUCUAAAGACAGUACACAAAGCUAGAUCAAAACAAACCAGUACCAAGAUCACUGCCUUAGCUUUCCAUUUUAGCAAGUGUGAGUUACCUUUUUUUCUUUUUUCUUUUUUCGUUUUUUUUUUUGUUUUUUUUUUUUUCCUUUGUUCCUUGUUUUUUAAAAUUUUACUUCCACAGUUUGAUGAACCUGUCAUGGCUAGCCGAAGCAACCAAACCUGAUGCUGCGGAUACUGCUAAGGAAGAUACUAAACCUUCAUGAGCUGAUAGAGUCAUCGUCUUGUUCUCCGUCGUAUUCCAAAGCUCUAACGACUGCAGCAGUUAAGAUAAGAAUGGAAGUGAGAGGGAAAUAUAACAAUAACUAUUUGAUCUUUUAAAUCUAAAUCAAAGGGGUAGUGAAAAAAUCGACAACUAAUGAACUAUUCUAAUUCUUUUCAACUAAUAAAGAAUAUGACACUGAUUGAGAGAGGACUUGCCUCGUAACAUCCAAUAACCAGCAAAGUAGAGUAGGUGGGAUGAAACACACAAGAGUGGAAUUUAUUGCCGUUGCAACUCAACUCGUGAAUGGAUUCACCCUCAUUCCCUGAAGCAAGUGUCCACACUCGAACAGAAUCCUCGCUAACAGAUGCCAGGAACUCUCCAGAAGGAUCCCAACAAAGUGAUUGAACCGUUUUGGUGUGUCCCUAUACUUGGAAGCACACAUUUCAGGGAGAAAAGGUAAGCCAAUCCAUAUGGGAAUAAAUGCGCAACACAAAACAAUGCUGGCUAUUUAAAUGAGCAGUUGAUAAUCAAGAACAGGAAAACAAUCCAUUUAUAUAUUAAACAACUGCAGAAAAUCCUCCAAUGCCCAAAAUACAAUACAUGAUUUAUUGGCUUGCCUUCAACUGAGUUAAAUAUAGAAUAAUGAUGAACAAUGAUCAUCAAUAAACAAAACCACGUGGCCUAUGUUUUGGAGGUUGCACAACUUCAAAUAUAAACUGACCCGUAAAGAAUGAACGCGAGCUUGUGUCUCGACAUCAAAAAUGGUUACGAUAUUAUCUACAACAGCAGAAAAGUAUCUCCCGAGACGAGGUUGAAAUCUCAUUGGGCCCGUACCACCCUAAAUUACACGAUCAAUUUAGUAACCAUGACAGCCUAUAUACAACGUAUAACCCAUGAAAAAUCAAGCUACCUUGAAUACUGCUGCACAGCUGCCAUUAGUAAUAUUCCAGUAUCGAAUUUCACCAUCACCAUCACAAGAGCAAAUAAAGUCAUCCUUCUUUGGAUGGAAGUCCAAAGACAUAACAGAAGCAGAAUGUCCCGUAAAAGUACGUAGAGAAUAACAAUGCUGCAUGUGAAUUACAGAUUAAGAAUGAUACAGCAAGAUAUUGUAUAACUUUAUUGCAAAAUAGCAAAUAUAAGUAAAUAUAUAAACAUAUCCCUUCCCAGUCUCUUACUUAUAAAUAUUGACUUCAAUCUUUUAAAAUUCCCAAUUUUAUCCUUCAAUUUAUUAAAAACAUCUCAAUUAAAUACAUAUAACCAGAAAAGUAAUUUCCCAGAAAUGUAUUACCAGAAAGCUAAUUUGCCUUGGUGUUUUAUCUUUUAUCUUUUAAAGUUCCAUGUACAAAUUUUGAAUAGAGGGAAAAAAAACCGUUAAAAUGUAUUACCAGAAAGCUAAUUUGCCUUUGUGUUUGAUUAAUCUAUUUGGACACAGCCCGGUAGUUAGAAAAAAUAGAUUACAAUGAUGGGUAGAUUGAAUAAGUAACGAAUUUUAGCAUUCUUUUUUUUUACACACUGAUAGUUUAUUUACUAGCUCGAUGCUGUUAUCAUGGAAUAAUUUGUAGUAGAAAUGCGUAUGUUAUGCUGUGAAAAAAAGAACAUAUUCAUCUUAUUCUAACAAAAUAAAAAUAGGUUAAAUUUCUCUAGACAUUUCCAACCUACAUUUGGCCAAAAAUAGGUCUAUCUUCAGCAAAAUGUUAAUGAAAAAAAUUACCUUAAAAUUUUCAAAACAUUAUAUUAUUCAUAAAUUAACACUUGCGGAGGUUAUUCAGGUUAUAUGUAGGAUGCAAUACCAACAAUUAAGUAAUGAAAGCUCGAGUUAAAUUGAAGACAUAGAUAGAGGAUAACUAACAUUGUCAGCAUCCCAAACCCUGACUGUUCGAUCGAAUGAUGAAGUUGCAAGUCGGGGCAUGCUAGGACUAAAACGAACAUCGGUGACAAUGGCAGCAUGUUCUUCAAGUGAAGUUUUCGGCUUCAAAUUUUCUGUGUACCAUAAUACAGCCUGCACAACCAUCAUAAUUAACCCCAAGGAAGACAAAAUAAUAUGGAAUGACCAAUGCUAAAUCCAAUAACAAGAUUUUCAAAUCAUACAUGCAAUACUUUAAACAUAACAACAGUCCCAAAAUACAGUACAGGUUAUCGUCAAUGGGUUCUCACCUUCUUAUCAUGACCACCACUAACAAGCAGCUUUCCAUCAGAUGAAAAGUGGCAAGAGGAAACUUUGCUUGUGCUUGCUCUAACAGAAUUCACCUCCGUAAAUGUGAAUCCUGAAGGUUAAAUUCACUCCUUAAAGAUAACAUAUAAAAUAGUAGAUCAUGCUCAAAACCAACUUUCAACUUCAUCUGGAGGUUACCCCAAAUGCUAAUUAUAGUUUAGUAGUUUUCAAGCCAAUGUGUUACAUCAGGAUCAAGAAUGCAUGCAACAUACCAAGAAGAAUGCAACUAUCUAAGAUAUUUAUAGUCUACAUUACUUCACCUCCAAGUCUACCCCAUAAUUAUCCAUUUCAUAUCCUUCCAAAUGACCUAGAUUAAGAUAAGUAAAACAAACUCCUUCGAUGUGGUGCCACAGAACAUCUAACAGGGUCUUCUAAAAGUUGUUGUAUCACUAUAUCACUAAAUGCAUGGGCAGUAUAUGACCUACCUGAUGGAUAGUCUCUCCUUUGAUUGACAGCUAAUGGUAAAAAGGAUAAAAGGAAGAUCAUCAAAACCAUUAAUUUAAUUCUGCAUGCUCUUUAAUCUUGUCCUCAACCCAUACCGAUGAUAUGUUAUAUUCUCUAUUAGUCUUGCACAAAAUUGAAAAUACAACAGCUAGGAGAGAUUUAAAUAUACUGUUGAUAUUCAAAAACGAGAGUAGAUAUGAUAUGGUUUUUUUCCAGGAAAGAUGCAUGAACAAAAUAUUAGAGCAUAUGCAGUAUAAAUCAAACAGGUAGCUUUGUGGCAGAAUACAGAACAUAAAAUACUUUCCACUCGCAAAUGCCAUGCAUUUACAUACUGGCAAUUGCAAAAAAACAAGCAGAAUAAUAAAAAAGAAUGCAAGGUAUGGCAUUCACUGCACCUUUGCUGCCAUCCAUACAGCGCCCUACAGGAUCUC
rnacentral:lncRNA from 1 species